rnacentral:rRNA from 1 species
GACGAACGCUGGCGGCGUGCUUAACACAUGCAAGUCGAACGGAAAGGCCCUGCUUUUGUGGGGUGCUCGAGUGGCGAACGGGUGAGUAACACGUGAGUAACCUGCCCUUGACUUUGGGAUAACUUCAGGAAACUGGGGCUAAUACCGGAUAGGAGCUCCUGCUGCAUGGUGGGGGUUGGAAAGUUUCGGCGGUUGGGGAUGGACUCGCGGCUUAUCAGCUUGUUGGUGGGGUAGUGGCUUACCAAGGCUUUGACGGGUAGCCGGCCUGAGAGGGUGACCGGCCACAUUGGGCCUGAGAUACGGCCCAUACUCCUACGGGAGGCAGCAGUGGGGAAUAUUGCACAAUGGGCGGAAGCCUGAUGCAGCAUCGCCGCGUGCGGGAUGACGGCCUUCGGGUUGUAAACCGCUUUCGCCUGUGACGAAGCGUGAGUGACGGUACUGGGUAAAGAAGCACCGGCUAACUACGU